rnacentral:rRNA from 1 species
CGCGUAGGUGGUUUUUUAAGUCGGAUGUGAAAUCCCCGGGCUUAACCUGGGAACUGCACCCGAUACUGGACGACUAGAGUGCGAGAGAGGGAGGUAGAAUUCCACGUGUAGCGGUGAAAUGCGUAGAUAUGUGGAGGAAUACCGGUGGCGAAGGCGGCCUCCUGGCUCGACACUGACGCUGAGGUGCGAAAGCGUGGGGAGCAAACA